rnacentral:rRNA from 1 species
GACAGAGGGUGCAAACGUUGUUCGGAAUUACUGGGCGUAAAGCGAGUGUAGGCGGUCUCGUAAGUCGGGUGUGAAAGCCCUGGGCUCAACCCAGGAAGUGCACUCGAAACUGCGAGGCUAGAGUACUGGAGAGGUAAGUGGAAUUCCGAGUGUAGAGGUGAAAUUCGUAGAUAUUCGGAAGAACACCAGUGGCGAAGGCGACUUACUGGACACAUAUUGACGCUGAGGUGCGAAAGCGUGGGGAGCAAACAGG